GGCGGCCAUAGCGAGAGGGAAACGCCCGGUCACAUUCCGAACCCGGAAGCUAAGACUCUCUGCGCCGAUGGUACUGCAAGGGGGACCUUGUGGGAGAGUAGGACACCGCCGGAC
rnacentral:rRNA from 1 species